rnacentral:lncRNA from 1 species
GGAAGAAUACUAAAUGAAAAGUGAUCUUAAUGCUCUCCAAUAUUUAUCAUCUGAAAUUUAAAUCUGAAAAUUUUUACGAUACACCUUGAGGCUUGUUAGGUUAGUAUAUCCUAUGCAUCAAUCAUGAACUAAAUUACAAUUCAAAUAGUUGAUCUUAAGAGCCUCUAACUUAAUGAAAAAGGGGGAGAAUAAUGUGUUGAAUUUUCUUGAGUAUCUCAUAGAAAAUCUAUUUUGGAAUUCACUAAUGAGUCCUAAUUGGCUUGCUCCUUAGAACUUAAAUUUUGUGCCAAUUUCUAUUUUUAUGUAUCAAAUUGUGCUUAUUUUCUAAAGGAAUAAAAGAAAGUCUUUAAGAGAGCUCUAAGAUAUAUCAAAAUUGCAUGAAUCCAUAUUUUGGUAUUUGUGCCCCAAUGCUCUUAUUAUCAUAAAAGAACCUUGAAGUCAUUAAGAAUUAAUGAUCCAACAUGAUGAUAUGUCUUUCAAAUAUAUAAGUUUUGAUCUUUUACUCUAAAAAUCAAUUAAAUUGCUCUCAUGUUGAUAAAACACUUAAUAGAUUGGGCAAAAGAUCUUAAAUGAACAAGCUUUCAUACUUAUUAAAGAGAGGUUAGAUUUCCACUCAUGUGUUUCCUUGAAUAUCAUUUGUGGUACUUCUUGUAUUAACCUAAGGAAGAUUCCACCUAUACUUGAUUAGAAAACUAUCUGUGGUAUCAAAUUAGAAAACUUCUUGAAAUCACAUUCGAUGUGUUCUGCUCUAAAAUUAUCUUAAUUGGCUCUGAUCUAUG